CAUUACCGAGUUUACAACUCCCAAACCCAAUGUGAACGUUACCAAACUGUUGCCUCGGCGGGAACUCAUGCCCCGGGUGCGUCGCAGCCCCGGACCAAGGCGCCCGCCGGAGGACCAACCAAAACUCUUUUUGUAUACCCCCUCGCGGGUUUUUUAUAAUCUGAGCCUUCUCGGCGCCUCUCGUAGGCGUUUCGAAAAUGAAUCAAAACUUUCAACAACGGAUCUCUUGGUUCUGGCAUCGAUGAAGAACGCAGCGAAAUGCGAUAAGUAAUGUGAAUUGCAGAAUUCAGUGAAUCAUCGAAUCUUUGAACGCACAUUGCGCCCGCCAGUAUUCUGGCGGGCAUGCCUGUCCGAGCGUCAUUUCAACCCUCGAACCCCUCCGGGGGGUCGGCGUUGGGGAUCGGCCCUCCUCUUGCGGGGGCCGUCUCCGAAAUACAGUGGCGGUCUCGCCGCAGCCUCUCCUGCGCAGUAGUUUGCACACUCGCAUCGGGAGCGCGGCGCGUCCACAGCCGUUAAACACCCAACUUCUGAAAUGUUGACCUCGGAUCAGGUAGGAAUACCCGCUGAACUUAAGCAUAUCAAUAAGCGG
rnacentral:rRNA from 1 species